rnacentral:rRNA from 1 species
AGUGAACGCUGGCGGCGUGCCUAAUACAUGCAAGUCGAACGGACAAGUAAGAGCUUGCUCUUAUGAGUUAGUGGCGCACGGGUGAGUAAUGUAUAGCUAAUCUGCCCCAUAGUGGAGGACAACAGUUGGAAACGACUGCUAAUACUCCAUACUCCAUUUAUAUAUAAGUAUAAAUGGGAAAGUCGAACCCUAUAUAUUGUUUAUUUAUCAAAUACCUACGGCGCAAUCGAAAGUUGCGGUGUGCUUUAGGUGGGUCAAGGGAGCGUAGCUCCUUGUCGCAAAGACGGACUUUGUUCGUCUGCGAAGUAAAUAAUAUAUAGGGUUUCUCGCUAUGGGAUGAGGCUAUAUCGUAUCAGCUAGUUGGUAAGGUAAUAGCUUACCAAGGCUAUGACGCGUAACUGGUCUGAGAGGAUGAUCAGUCACACUGGAACUGAGACACGGUCCAGACUCCUACGGGAGGCAGCAGUAGGGAAUAUUGCUCAAUGGGGGAAACCCUGAAGCAGCAACGCCGCGUGGAGGAUGACACUUUUCGGAGCGUAAACUCCUUUUCUUGGGGAAGAA